GACUUCACCGCUUGCAACAGCAACGAGCUGACCAUCCGACGGGGCCAGACCGUGGAAGUUCUAGAGCGGCCGCAUGACAAGCCUGACUGGUGUCUGGUGCGGACCACUGACCGCUCCCCGGCGGCAGAAGGCCUGGUCCCCUGUGGCUCACUGUGCAUCGCCCACUCCAGAAGUAGCAUGGAAAUGGAGGGCAUCUUCAACCACAAAGGCCAAGCCAUGUUCCGGAUUUCUCAGGGCCUAAAUGUGAGUUUACUGUCACCUCAGUAAGAAACAGGAAGAAUUAGGCUGUUGUUUCUCCAGAAAUCUGAAGAGAAAGGCAGAGGAUUUUCAGACUUUGGCCAAAAGCCAAAGGUGUCCACUUCCAUUUCUGGUGAAGCUGCCCGUGCAUUUGGAACAGCGGUGGGCUUCCCUUCGUGGAGCCUUUGCGUUUAGAGAUCUGGGCCAUGCUGGCUUUUAGCCUGUUGCCAGAAUGCUUCUAAAGUUGCAUCAAUAUAAGUCCUUGAAUUUGAGUUGAAAAUAAAGUACAACUUUUCCCGAAA
rnacentral:sRNA from 1 species